AGGAUGAACAUCGCAAAGCUCGAAGCCUCGAAGAAGACGCCACACAUCUUCUCCUCAGCGAGCAUGCUUUCCUUCGACGCCCACUAGAAGCCCGUGCUAACAGGUCUCUUAUCUCGCUCAGGUACCCGACACCCUUGCACAUGUUGACGAACACGUUAGGACCCUUAGUCUCCGGACCGAAGGCCCAGAUCUUCUUGGACAGAUCCUUGUCC
rnacentral:sRNA from 1 species